ensembl:lncRNA
UUCUGAUUCUGAUUUUGGGUCUGAUUCUGAUUCAGGUUCAUGUUCUGGUUCAGAUUCUGGUUCUGAUUCUGGGUCUGAUUCUGGACCUGGUUCUGGUUCUGAUUCUGGUUCAGAUUCUGAUUCAUGUUCUGGUUCUGAUUCUGGACCUGGUUCUGGUUCUGAUUCUGGUUCUGAUUCUGGACCUGGUUCUGGUUCUGAUUUUGGGUCUGAUUCUGGUCCUAAUUCAGAUUCUGGGUCUGAUUCUGGGUCUGAUUCUGGUUCUAAUUCAGAUUCUGGUUCUGAUUCUGAUUUGGGGUCUGAUUUUGGGUCUGAUUCUGGUUCCGAUUCAGGUUCUGGUUCUGAUUUUGGGUCUGACUGUGGACCUGGUUCUGGUUCUGACAGUACUGAUUCUAAGGUUUUUAUACAGUAAACCCUGCUGGUGCAGCUGGACACCUGGUGAUGGUUUAAGGUAGUUACGGUAUUUUCGUCACUGUUUUCAACCGUGUGACGACGUCGGUGAUCCUGGUUCUGACCCGAUAGCAGCCGGGGCUGAUGGGAGGAGGAGGCCGACGCUGUAGUUCAGGCCAGUCAUGAGGCGCUCGGUGGAAACGACAUUAAAGCUCUAACGGCAUUAGAGAUGCUAAUUAGCAGCACAACCUCUCUACAUGGUAGAAACCGACCAUCGACUCAAGACUCUGUUGUUGUUUGCUGACCCAAGCGAUCAGUUUAACAGAACUCACAUCCUGAUUGGACCACAGAGGAGGCUCAGAAUCAUGCAGCUAGGAGACGUUUCCAGCAGAGAUAAACAGAGAUCCAGGUGAGCAGCAGGGAGGCGGUGAUAACGGCGGGAUGAACAAGUUCAGAUAAACUCCAAGAACCAGAGAGCUGGUGCAGGCAGCAGAUUACCAGGAGGUACCGAGGUGAUUAAGGUGUGUGUGUGUGUGUGUGUGUGUGUGUGUGUGUGUGUGUGUGUGUGUGUGUGUGUGUGUGUGUGUGUGUGUGUGGGGCUGAUCUAAACAGGAUUUACUUGUUGCAGUCCCGAGGUGGCUCACUUCACUCAUUUACCUAACGCCGCCGCCGGGCCAAAACCCUCAAAGACCUGGUUAAUUAAGGUGUGUGUGAGGAGGGGUGGUGCUGAGUGCUUACACACACACACACACACACACACACACACACACACACACACACACACACACACACACACACACACACACACACACACACAACCUCUGGCUGCAUGUGGAAAGUCUUCAUUUACAUACAAAUAUCAGAGGGUGUCACCUUAAAUCUGCCUCUAAAGCACCGGCGUAAGCAGAAAGCAGAUUUUUAAAACAUCGCUGAACGUAAAUGUUUCACUUCUUCCAUCGGGGGGCUGUUGCAGCAGCCGCCCCCUCUUCCUGCAGCCGGACCAGACGUGUUCGCUCUUCAAUCACUCCAGUUUACUCAAGAACAUAUCGCUGCACGACCCACAAGAAGCACGAUGGGGACGUCAACUGUAAAGUGUGGCAGGUGGAGAGCACGGGGGCAAAAAUAUCCACAACACGCGCAUAGCCCCAUCAGCAGCAGUCACCAACCCCAUCAUUCUGCAAACCAACAACAACAACUGUCCGGGACUGUGUGCACCCCCACUCACAGCUCCACUAAACGGGAAUCAAACUGUCGGAACCUCCCAACAGGAAAAUAACCCCAUCUCUGCCUCUAGCCCUGGGGAUGUGUGUCAGCAUGGUUCACACACCCAAAACAAACAGGCUUCCCAUUGCAGCAGCAAGAACACGACUGUGGGUUUGGACCAGUCAGAGGGGGAGGAGCGGGAGGGGAGGGGAGGGG